UUAAAGGUCUCCUCUCCUACACCCUAGACGUGAUCGGGCUUCAAGGUCUCCUCCUAUGGCUCCCUCAAUUUCGAGGAGAAGGACGGUAAGAUCACGCUGCGUGCGAAGAAGAGCAAGCUGGAGACCAGCGAGGUAAUCGGCGUAUUAGAGAUCCUCCAGCCGUUUGAUGGUGAUUUGGUUCCUAGGUACCCAAGGACGUCAAGAUGCUCUCUUUCGGCAAAUCAGUUUACUACAACAUCCCAACCAACCUUAGGAGAGCUAACUCCUUUGAUGGACAUGUCUGUUGUUGCAGUCUGGUUUUCUCUUGAAAGGUAAUGCAUGCAUUUUUGUUCUCUUUGACAGGGUUUUAGUUGGUUGAGUUGUUGACAUAUGAUGAGAUAAAAAGGUGGGUCAUGAAGAAUCCACAUGUUUUGAUAUUUUUGUACAGAGAAACCCUGCUUAGGAUAUAUUUAACCAUAUUAGAGUGCAAUAUUUCCCUUUCACGUUCUAGGGAGGGAAAAAAUAAAAGGAAGGAGGAAGAAAGUGACAAAAGAACUUCAAUUAGGGGCAGAGAGAUGAAACCAAGUGAAGACAUCUGUUUAGUAGCACACAUCUGGAGCAAAUUGAUCGAGAUGGGUGCGUCUUCUCCGGAUUGCUUUUGGGUUUCAAUGUUAUUCUCAAUGAAAAAUCGUGAGUUGAACAUUUUCCCUUCUUGCCCAUUUGCUUACAUGUUAUUGUCUUUGAUUUUUGUCUUCCUUUCUUGUGAAGGUUCCGUUCUCUCUCUCUCGCCACCUCUUAUCUCUUUCUUUGCCUAUUGCAGUGAUUCUUCAUCUACUUAAAUAACCUUCUUUUUUGGUCCCCUUUUAGUUUUAGAGCCGGUUUUGCAACUCGUCUUCUGCACACAUCAGUGUCUCUAAUUUGGUUUUAGAGCCAGCAACAGAGAGGGGUUUUAUCAAAAUGUCUGUUGGGAAGCAGGAAAGAAAGAGUAUGGGAUCAAGAGAAAACGUCCCUUGGCUCGGAGAAUCGUUUUUGACAUCUCCCACCCGAAAACUUGGUUCAUACCCACGCCAUCCAUCCAUCAUUUUCAUCGCUCUUUAAUUCACUUCAUAUGUAGAAUUUUGAUGUUGGUUAUUCCAAUUAGCUAGACUUACCAUUGGAAGCUGCGUUUUUGUUCAGUUUUAAGAGAUUCUUGGUGGAUAGAUGCAUGGGCUGAAUGUUUCUGAAUUAUUGAGAUCGAAAACUUGUUGCUCUAGUAGGAAUAAGGAAUGACCUGUACAUGUCAUGCGUUUGGAUUAUUUUCAUUUUAAGUACGGUGCAUCUUCUAUAUUAAUUGUCUCGGAAAUGCUUGAAAGCUUCAGUAAUGAAUCAUCAGGGUCAUCAGUUUUGUAGGGCCAUCAAGUUUUGCAGGGUAAGUCACGCCACGGCUCCCUUGGGGAAGCCACACUUGCUUAUAAGGGCCCCAUUUACAGAAAAAUGACAAAUGAUGUUUUUGAAUGUUAUAGCUUGCAAUCCGAUUGUUGUCUCAAAAAAAAACUCAUGACACACAGUUCUUCAUGAUUGGAAGACUAUGGGUUGUUAUUAGAUGAAGCAAUAUUAACUAUGUCUGCAGCUUUGUUGACUUUACAGUUUAUCACAGUAUAAUGAUGGAAUGGAAACUGAAAUUCUUCGAGGAUUAGGAGAAUGGUGCAAAGAAUGGAUAAAAAAACAAGAAAAUUUUAACAACAACAAAAAAAUAGAAAGCAUGAGAACGAAGGCGUAAAUAAAGAGUGCUUUGGUAUCAUAUCGCCCAUUACAUAAAUCUAACCCUGCAACAAAUGCAAUAAUUGUUCCUUGCCAUUACCAGCAUCCACAUCCAAGAUCACUGACUUUUGAUGACGAGGAUAAAUUGCCCCAACUUUCUUUUGCAUUUUUUCCUUCCCAUUUAAAUGAACCAAGGCACCGCAUUUGUUUAACUGUAAUUUUGACUUUCCUACAAUUGAUAUUUUACAUUGUUUCUUUCUCAAUUUUCUUGAUAGCAUGUACGGGAUGUUUUGUAGCAGAUUUGGCAUCUUGUUCAACCCAAUUGGUUUCUUUCUUCAGCUUCUUGACCGGAAGCCAUUUGACAUUUCCUUGAUAUUAGCUUGCGAGUGUAUAGAAGAAUAGGCUUUUGGGGGCUCCAUUUGUAGGUCCACUUGGGUCAAGGACGAAGAAUGAAUCUGAUCUUUGGUUGGUGCAUGGGUUCCACUGACGUAAGGAUACAAAUAUUCGAGUAGAUAGAACAUAAAACCGAGCAAGGAUUAUAUAUGUUGAUACCAAGACGUGCUUAAAUGUUGAAGUGGCUACAAGUUGUGGCGGCUAGCUAAACUUUAUUGAUGUAAGAAAAAAGCAACUUUUCUGGAUGGGACGUUUAUUCCUCUUUGAAGCUUCACAUGUGGACAAUGGUCAUGAACGGUUCUAAGACACUCCAAGCUAAGCUUGACAACCUUUGGAUUCUUUAGAAUUGCAAGUGAAGACGUGAUUAACAUUUACAUGCAAACCAUUCAAUUGCAUAUAAACCUGGAGGAUGGAGAGUUAAAAAAAUCCUAUGCUACAGCUAAUAUAGUGGUAUUGAUUACAGAGAAAUAGCUGAAGUUUUGUUGAAUAGGAAUGUUAAAAAAAAUGUAAAUGGAAGGGAGCAACCGGAGUUUCUAGCUGCAUAACCAUGCACGCUGGAAUGAA